CCCUGCAAGAACUAAUUUACCCCCUUGAGGGAACACUGCCCCACUGAGAAUUUACGCCACAGCGGAAGUCGUAGAUGCUCCACCCGGAAGUCGUAGAUGCUCCACCCAGAACUCCGUCAAUGGUGGUGAACCUCUCCACCCAGCCGCUUUGGGCGUUGCCCUAGGAGAACUCUCCAGAGGAUUGCCCUAGACCCAGUGGAGGUUUUAUCCGUCUCAAAAUCCCAUCAAAUCCUCCCCACCUAAAAAAGCUGUACCUACUUACAGUGAGGUUCCAUUUGUCUGUGGGGAAAGGUGAGCCUAGGGUCCUCCUACAUCACCAAAUGCAAUGAGAAUUCCAAGAAGCUCCAUCCUAAAGGAAGAGUCCAAGCUAGAAGGCAAGGGCACUAUAGUUGGCUGUUUUUCACAAAAUGUGGCUUCGUGUUUCUUGAUGGCUCCUGUGACAAGUUGACUGUCCAGAGAAAUUUGGAUUUCACAUAUGUAGUUCCAGUGACUGCAUUCAUCCAGGUUAGACCAUAUGUCUUGGCUUCAUGUUCAGAAAACAUGGACUUUAUACU